AGCAGCCGCGGUAAUUCCAGCUCCAAUAGCGUAUAUUAAAGUUGUUGCAGUUAAAAGCUCGUAGUUGAAUUUCGGGAUUGACACAUCGGUCGUGCCUUAAGGGGUAUGAACUGGUGUAGUCAAUUUCUCACCUUCUGGAGAACCGCGAUGCCCUUAAUUGGGUGCCGCGGGGAACCAGGACCUUUACUUUGAAAAAUUAGAGUGUUUAAAGCAGGCAUUUUGCUUGAAUACAUUAGCAUGGAAUAAUAAAAUAGGACGGCAUGAUUCUAUUUUGUUGGUUUCUAGGAUCACCGUAAUGAUUAAUAGGGAUAGUUGGGGGCAUUAGUAUUCAAUUGUCAGAGGUGAAAUUCUUGGAUUUAUUGAAGACUAACUACUGCGAAAGCAUUUGCCAAGGAUGUUUUCAUUAAUCAAGAACGAAAGUUAGGGGAUCGAAGACGAUCAGAUACCGUCGUAGUCUUAACCAUAAACUAUGCCGACUAGGAAUCAGACGAUGUUAAUUUUUUAAUGUACUUCGUUUGGC
rnacentral:misc_RNA from 1 species